UUCCCCUUUCUCUCCCCUCUUUCCUCCCUCUGGUCCUUUUGCUCUACUCUACUGACUCCAUGAAGAAGGCCAUGUGAAGAUGGAGGCAGAGAUUGGAGUGAUAUCCCUAUAAGCCCAGGGAAGCUGGGAGAGAGGUGGGGAGCUCAGACCCUUCAGAAGAAGCAGCCCUGCAUCUACCUUGAUUUCAGACUUUGAUCUUCUAAGCCGUGAGAGAAUGGAUGGCCGGAUGGCAGAGAGUCCAAAGAGACCAAUACACCAUCCAAGACGGGGUCUUGCUAAAUUGCCCAGGCUGACCUUAAACUUGCAAUCCCCCUGCUUCAGACUGCUGAGUAGCUGAGAUUACAGGUGAGCACUACUGCAUCUGGCUAGAAUUUGUUUAUUGAAUACUCUCUUUAUGUAUAGAUAGGUGCUGCCUAGGAGCACUUUGAUCAAUGUCAUACCAAUAUAUGACAGCAAUUACAUAAGAUAAUUAAUAAGAGCUGAAAAAUUCAUUAGUUUGGAGUGUAGUCUUUGUACUUAUAUUUUUUAAAAUUACUGUAAAAUAAAGUGCCCUGUUACACCAACAGUACCCUCAUAAACUUGGUAUUUACUGUGUUUGGUUUUGUUUUUCUUUUAAAAUGGUGCUGGGAAUUAAACCCAGGGUCCUGUGCAUGCUAGGGAAGUGCUUUACUGCUGAGCUGCAUCCCCACUUUUACUGUGUUUCUGGAUUGGAGUGUAUCAAGAGGCCACAUCAAGCGAUGGACCCUUACCAAUCAGGUUUGUGUAAGUACACUCCAUGUGUUCAUACAAUGGCAAAGCUGCCUAAGGAUGCAUUUAUCAGAAGACAUCCCUGCCAUUAAGUGACACAUGCUUGAAUAUACACAGUUCACGGCUGGGUUGCUGAGCCUUCUGUUCUGUCCCACUGGUCUAUUAGACUGUAGCUAAGCCAGUGCCACACUGUUGCUAUUGUGGUUUUGUAAUAUAUUUGACUGGGGAAUUCAUUCCUUUACUCUUCUUUUUAAAAGUUUAUUUAUUUAUUUAGUCCCUCAAAAAGAAAUCCAACUGGAAUUUUGAUUGGCAUUGUAAUGAGUUUAAAGGUUAAUUGUUAAUAUAAUUAGGUCUUUAUAAAGCUAUCCAAUAUGUCAUCUUCUAAGAGGUUGCCCAAUCCAAAAGCAUGGAAUGUGCUCUAUUUAUUCAGAUCAUUUUCUGUUUCCUUAUUAGAGCUUAAAAAAAAAAUGUGUUCAGAAGUUUUGUGUAUUCUGGGUUAACGCCUACAUAUUUUGUAAUUCUUGUUGCUAUUGUGAAUGAUAUCUUUGUAGUAAUAAUUUCUAGCACUACUGUGGGUGGAGAGAGAUGCUGUUGAUUUUUGCAGGUCGGUCUUGUGUCUGGAAAGCUUGCAGAAUCUAACUGGCUCUAAUAUGCUUGAAUCUUUGUUAUCUCUGAGUUGGUGGACAUUUUGUUUUUCUGCUGCUACAGUAAGAAGCAACCCCUGCCUCUUUAGUCUCUGCAACCGAUGCCAGCUGGAAUGCUGGGGGUCCCAAGAAGCUAGUCCCUGUGCCAGGCUGCCCGGGGAAGCCCAACUACAGUGGGGACAGAGGAGGUGCUGUUGCAGGGAGUAACUGUGGUGAGUGAUGCAGAAGGUGAUCAGGAGACAGAGACCCUAACCCAGUGGUCCAAAGCAGGCUCCAUCUUCUCUCCAAUCCAUCCUCCACAGGGUCCCAGAAUUUCCUUCCAUUUUCCCUAAUUUUUUGUUUUUAAAAAGGUGAAAUUAUAGAGAAGUGCUAACUUUGAUCACUUUGUUAAGGUGGAUAUCUGCCAGCUCUCUCCAUUCUAAGGGUCCCAUUUUUCCCUGGUCAUCUGAGAAUAUUUAAAUAAACAUAUAUUCCCAUGCCCUCUUCUUUAGCAACAAUCCCCACAGGUCACUGCAAAGAAGGCCAGGUGACACUUGCCCACACAGGGGUCACACUGGAGAGAGCCCUGAGCUUGGGAAAUUAGAUUCCUAAUGGGCGGUAAGUCUCCUGAGCUGUUCUGCGGGAGACACCAUCUUUAUGACACUGGACACUAAGCUGCCUGCACUUUGCUCCAGAGGGAGACAUUACCUCUGUUUUCUAAGACUAUUUGCUAUACAAACAUUCUUAGAAAGAUAGUCCAGGCAGCAAGUACCUCAGUUCGCAAGACAUCCACAAAUGUGAGAGGCAAAAGAGAGCUGUAUUCUGACAGAUCCUGAAAAAUUAUCUUUCUUUCCACCUCACAAUCCAAUCACAGAUCAUGUCUGUUGCUCUGCAGUAGUUCUCUCCAUCCCCAGUGGUGGAUGCUUCCCAAUGUAACUGUGUUUCCCAUCUUCUCUCUAGCAAGAGGCUUUCAGUGUAAGCGGUAUGUGCAGCUUCUGGCAAGUGCCCCUUGAGGAUGGGCACCAUGCCUUUCUCUUUCUUUCUUCCUGCAACAUAAAUUUUCAGCUUCCCUAGGACACUUUCUAAUCCUGUCAUCUACUUUAUUCUUUUCCAUACCAGAAAACAGCUCUCGACACAUUCUUUAUUUUAUUUUGUAUGUUAUCUGUCUCUUAUUAAAAUGUGAACUCCAUGAACAGUGUUGAUACAUCACAGUAGAUUAGUGUCAAUGGUUAAAAUAUUGAAAUAUUUCUGUACCAGUUUUGGUGACUAGCCACUGCCCCAAAGCCCCAUAUACCUCCCACAGCACUUUCCAGGUUCUAACUGCCUUAGUCUGUUUGUGAUGCCAUAAAAAAUGACCAUAGUCCAGGUGGUUCUGGAGGUUGGGAAGUGUUCCAAUUCCCUAAGCUUUCCAUCCAGUUCUGGAAGCUAGGGAGUCUAAGGUCAAGAUGCCAACUGAUUUUGUCCUGGUAAAAUUUCUCUUUCUGGCUGUUUUUCUCCAAGUCCUCUCAUGAUAGAUGAAAGAGAAACAGAGAGAGUGCCCACAAGUGCACACUGGUGUCUCUUCUUAUAAAAGCACUAAUGUCAUCAGAUCAGAUCCCACCCUCAUAACCUCAUCCAAACCUAAACACCUCCCAAAGCCUUCAUUGGAAGUUAGGGAUUCAACAUUCAAAUUUUGAGAGAACGUGAUUUAGUCCAUUGCACCAACUACAUAGUCAUGGAUUUUCACAGCAAGGAGCUCCCAGGACCCCACCUCUCUAUUAAGACCAGUGAUGUUCUGAUUAAUCCGAGUUCUGAUUAACCUGACAUGCCUGGAACAUGCUCCUUAAAUACUUAUUGAGUUAGUGCAUGAUAGACUCUAGGGUGGCUCCAAGCCUUCCCGUUGUCCAUUUCAACAACAGGAGCUAGAAUCAGAUUUUUCAGUAAAUAAAGAUCAAAGCUGGAAGUGAUGCAUGGGUGCCUAUAGUCCUAGCUAUUCAGGAGACUGAGGCAGAAGGAUCAUAACUUUCGAGGCCAAUCUGGGAAACUUUGCAAGACUCUGUCUCAAAAUAAAAAAUUUAAAGGGCUAGGGGCAUAGCUUAGGGGUAUAUCACCCCUGAGUUCAAUCCCCAGAAAAUAAUAAUAAUAAUA